GAACCAGUACCGUGAGGGAAAGGCGAAAAGAACCCCGGAGAGGGGAGUGAAAUAGAACCUGAAACCGUAUGCGUACAAGCAGUCGGAGCCCCGCAAGGGGUGACGGCGUACCUUUUGUAUAAUGGGUCAGCGAGUUAUUUUCAGUGGCGAGGCUAACCGAAUAGGGGAGCCGUAGGGAAACCGAGUCUUAAUCGGGCGUCACAGUCGCUGGGAAUAGACCCGAAGCCAGUCGAUCUAUCCAUGUGCAGGGUGAAGACCAGGUAACACUGGUUGGAGGCCCGAACGAACCACUGUUGCAAUAGUGCGUCGAUGAUGUGUGGAUAGGAGUGAAAGGCUAAUCAAGGCUGGCGAUAGCUGGUUCUCCCCGAAAGCUAUUUAGGUAGUGCCUCGAGUGAUCACUCCGGGGGGUAGAGCACUGUUUGGAGAAGGGGGACAUCUCGUCCUACCAACUCCAUGCAAACUCCGAAUACCCGGAAGUGCAGCUCGGGAGACACACGGCGGGUGCUAACGUCCGUCGUGAAAAGGGAAAAAACCCAGACCAUCAGCUAAGGUCCCAAAAUUUCGGCUAAGUGGUAAACGAUGUGAGAAGGCAUAGACAGCCAGGAGGUUGGCUUAGAAGCAGCCAUCCUUUAAAGAAAGCGUAAUAGCUCACUGGUCUAGUCGGCUCGCGCGGAAGAUUUAACGGGGCUAAGCCGAGUACCGAAGCUAUGGGUGUGCAGCGAUGCACGCGGUAGGGGAGCGUUCUCUAGGCCUGCGAAGGUGCACUGUGAGGUGUGCUGGAGGUACGAGAAGUGCGAAUGCUGACAUGAGUAACGUUAAAACGGGUGAAAAACCCGUUCGCCGUAAACCCAAGGUUUCCCGCGCUACGUUAAUCGGCGCGGGGUUAGUCGGAUCCUAAGGCGAGGCCGAAAGGCGUAGUCGAUGGAAAGCUGGUCAACAUUCCAGCACCGCUUGUCACUGCGAUGGGAUGACGGAGAAGGCUAGGCGAGCAGCAGCAGUGCUGUUCAAGGUCGUAGGGAGAGUCUCCUGGCAAAUCCGGAGGCUCGCUAAUCCCGAGAGCUGAGUACGAGGGGACUUCGGUCCCCGAAGUCGCUGAUGCCACGCUUCCAGGAAAAGUCUCUAAGCUUCAGGUGACAGACGUCCGUACCGUAAACCGACUCUGGUGGGUGGGGAGACAAUCUCCCAAGGCGCUUGAGAGAACUCGGGUUAAGGAACUCUGCAAAUUGAUACCGUAACUUCGGGAGAAGGUAUGCCUCUUCGGGUGACUGGAUUCACUUUGGAAGCCCAGAGAGGCCGCAGGUAAUCGGUGGCUGCGACUGUUUAUCAAAAACACAGGACUCUGCUAACACGAAAGUGGAUGUAUAGGGUCUGACGCCUGCCCGGUGCCGGAAGGUUAAUUGAUGGGGUCAGCCGCAAGGCGAAGCUCCUGAUCGAAGCCCCGGUAAACGGCGGCCGUAACUAUAACGGUCCUAAGGUAGCGAAAUUCCUUGUCGGGUAAGUUCCGACCUGCACGAAUGGCGUAACGCUGGCCACACUGUCUCGACCCGAGACUCAGUGAAGUUGAAAUCGCUGUGAAGAUGCGGCGUAGCUGCGGAAAGACGGAAAGACCCCGUGAACCUUUACUACAGCUUUACACUGAACUUUGACUUUGCUUGUGUAGGAUAGGUGGGAGCCUUUGAAGCGUGGGCGCUAGCUCGCGUGGAGGCAACGUUGAAAUACCACCCUGGUAAAUUCGGAGUUCUAACCUAGGUCCAUCUACUGGAUCGGGGACAAUGUAUGGUGGGUAGUUUGACUGGGGCGGUCUCCUCCCAAAGAGUAACGGAGGAGUGCAAAGGUACCCUCAGCGCGGUCGGUCAUCGCGCACAGAGUGCAAUGGCAUAAGGGUGCUUGACUGCGAGACGGACAUGUCGAGCAGGUGCGAAAGCAGGUCAUAGUGAUCCGGUGGUUCUGUAUGGAAGGGCCAUCGCUCAACGGAUAAAAGGUACUC
rnacentral:rRNA from 1 species